rnacentral:rRNA from 1 species
UGGGGAAUAUUGCACAAUGGGCGCAAGCCUGAUGCAGCCAUGCCGCGUGUAUGAAGAAGGCCUUCGGGUUGUAAAGCACUUUCAGCGGGGAGGAAGGCGUUAAGGUUAAUAACCUUGGCGAUUGACGUUACCCGCAGAAGAAGCACCGGCUAACUCCGUGCCAGCAGCCGCGGUAAUACGGAGGGUGCAAGCGUUAAUCGGAAUUACUGGGCGUAAAGCGCACGCAGGCGGUUUGUUAAGUCAGAUGUGAAAUCCCCGGGCUCAACCUGGGAACUGCAUCUGAUACUGGCAAGCUUGAGUCUCGUAGAGGGGGGUAGAAUUCCAGGUGUAGCGGUGAAAUGCGUAGAGAUCUGGAGGAAUACCGGUGGCGAAGGCGGCCCCCUGGACGAAGACUGACGCUCAGGUGCGAAAGCGUGGGGAGCAAACAGG